UUUCUCUUUCUUUUUUCCCCCUCCCUUCCCUUCUUCUUCCUCGUGCAGACACCCCUCUCUUGAAAACCCUCAUCGUCGCCCCAUCGCGUCGCCGCCUCAGCCGCUCAGCGCCGUCGUGUGCCUCGCCAGACCGUUCGCUCACGUCGGAUCUCGCCAGCUGUGAAGCCGAUUGACGUCGUGAGCCUACUGCCGCCAAGCCCUGUUUGGUUGAGGCCGAGCCACUCGUCCAAGAUCUACGCUGCUGCUCGCCGCCGAUCUCGAUCAGCCGUUCAGCCAUGUCUGUCCAAGCGCCGCCCUGCACAUCCAGCUGCCCUACCGUUGUCGAGGUCCGAUCGCACUGCAACCAAGUUUCAAAUCGGUCGUUCCGAUCGCCAUUUUUUCAACUUUGCCUCUCUGUUCUAGCCCUGCCACCAGUCGUCACUGCCGUUCCUUUGGUUUCGUCGGAUCUUGAGUUUUGGAUAAGAUCUAAAUGAUUUUCAUGGGUUCGUUGAAGAUCUUGAAUCCCAAUAAAUAAUGUAUUUAAUUAUCACUUCAAUCAGAAUUUUGGAGGUUGGACUUGAUAGUUUGAAGGAGUUUAAGAGACUUUUGGCAUGCUUGCAGGCAAAGUUAAGGUGAUUUCGGACUUAUUCUAAGAUUGUGAAGAUUAGAAGGGCGUUGGUUGCUGGAAUAAUUGUUUGGGCUUAAAUUCUACAUUUGGAGGUGAAUUCGAAUCAGACCAUGCUUUAAGCUUGAUUAAAGAUUCGAGAAUUUCACAAAGAUUCAAUUGCUUUUUGGUUCGACCUAAUAUCAAGGUAAGUAAUUUACUAUUGGAAUCUGCCCACAGGCCAGACACUAGAUAUUUGCUUGCAUGAUAGAUUGAUAUUAUGACAGAACCAUAGUAUGAUAGAUUGAUAGUAUAGUAUAAUCGAUGUAUGUUUUCGUAUGAAGAUCUGGAAGAUUAUAUGUGCAUAUGGAUACUUGAAUGCUAGCAUGAGGUGAUAGUUGAUUCCAUGAGAUUGUAUUUGAUCUGAGGAUGUUGGGACGUAUAUGUAUGUUAUAGAGCCAUGAUGUUGAGAUAUAUAUGUAUGUUAUAGAAUCAUGUUAUGAUACUUGUAAUGUUAAGAUUGUGAUAGUGUCCUCACUGAUUAGUUAGAUGCCCACUACAUGUUGUGUUUCCUUCUUGAUUCACUAGAGGUGGUGGUUUUCUUGGGGAUCCACCAGAGUUUAUGUUUCCUUUGGGAUUUACUACAGGUGGUGUUAUCCUUCGGGAUUCACUAGAGGUUAUGUUUCCUUCGUGAUUCACUAGAGAUGGUGUUAUCCUUCGGGAUUCAACAGAGGUCGUGUUUCCUUUGGGAUUCACUAAAAAUGGUGUUUUCUUUGGGAACCACCAGAGGUUGUGUUUCCCGAGAUUUACUAGAAGUGGUGCUUUCCUUCGCGAUUCACCAGAGGUUGUGGGUCCUACGGAACUUACUAGAGAUAGUGGGCAUACUUAUUUACAGUAGGAUAAAAAUCAGUUUUUCAUGUAUGAGUUCAAUGAGGACUAGAGGAGUAUUUAUGUUUGACCAGAGGUGGGCAUCUAUAAGACAUAUAUGCCUAGCCUGACCUCAGUAGUGGGUUACUUACUGAGUAUUUUUAUACUCAUUCUUUCUCAUAUUGUUGUUUCAGGUAAGGGUAGAGAUGCACCGACGACUGACAAGAGGAAUCCUUGAUCGAGCCACCAAGGACUAGUUUACAUGCUUUCGCUCAUAUUUUAAGAUUUCUAUUAUAUUUUACAUUUUCAGUUUUAAGAUUCGAUACUACCGUUUCAGUUUUGUUUUCAGACUUAUUUGUUUCUUUUCAUGAUUUAUGGAUACCUAUUAUUUGACUUAAAGUAUUUGGAAUUAAUGCAAAUCUUUUUAGUUAUCUCA